rnacentral:rRNA from 1 species
GUCGAACGGUGAACACGGAGCUUGCUCUGUGGGAUCAGUGGCGAACGGGUGAGUAACACGUGAGCAACCUGCCCCUGACUCUGGGAUAAGCGCUGGAAACGGCGUCUAAUACUGGAUAUGUGACGUGACCGCAUGGUCUGCGUCUGGAAAAAAUUUCGGUUGGGGAUGGGCUCGCGGCCUAUCAGCUUGUUGGUGAGGUGAUGGCUCACCAAGGCGACGACGGGUAGCCGGCCUGAGAGGGUGACCGGCCACACUGGGACUGAGACACGGCCCAGACUCCUACGGGAGGCAGCAGUGGGGAAUAUUGCACAAUGGGCGCAAGCCUGAUGCAGCAACGCCGCGUGAGGGACGACGGCCUUCGGGUUGUAAACCUCUUUUAGCAGGGAAGAAGCGAAAGUGACGGUACCUGCAGAAGAAGCGCCGGCUAACUACGUGCCAGCAGCCGCGGUAAUACGUAGGGCGCAAGCGUUAUCCGGAAUUAUUGGGCGUAAAGAGCUCGUAGGCGGUUUGUCGCGUCUGCUGUGAAAUCCGGAGGCUCAACCUCCGGCCUGCAGUGGGUACGGGCAGACUAGAGUGCGGUAGGGGAGAUUGGAAUUCCUGGUGUAGCGGUGAAAUGCGCAGAUAUCAGGACGAACACCGAUGGCGAAGGCAGAUCUCUGGGCCGUAACUGACGCUGA